rnacentral:rRNA from 1 species
AACCUAAAGAAUCUGGCGGUGUUUUGAAUAAUYGGAGGAAUCUGUUAAUUAAAUGAUAUUCCACAACAAAUCUUUUCCUUAUUCUCGUUUGUAUAUCGUUAUUUACAGACAAUAUUUAAAAAUAAUAGUCGUAAUUAAUUCUAAAAUUUUUAUAAAUUAAAUCAAGGUGCAGCAUAAUAAGGUUAUAAAUGGAUUACAAUAUUGGUUAAAUACCUACGAAUAAGAAAAUGAAAAUCUCUUUGAAGGAGGAUUCAAAAGUAAUAAGAAAAUAAAUUGUUUUUUUGAAUAAUUACCCAAAACAUGCACACAU